GAGACACCAGAGGGCCGCCUGCUUAGGACCAGAGGUGCCCCUGGGCCGGCCUUGGUGAGGGACC
ensembl:miRNA